CCUUCCCCCCGACGGCGCCACUCGCAGACCCGGAGCCGCCGGCACCCAGUGCGGGCGUGGAGAGAGACGUGCACAGAUCCGAGAACUCACAAUGGAACAAUGUGUAUUUUAGCCAACCUGAGCUUCGGGUGACCUGUGGUUAACGCUAAGGGGACUCUGUAUAAAGAGAAAUUUGCGCAAGGCACCCAUAUGAGAAGUAUAAAGACUGACAAUGAAGAGUGGCUGACUAUGAGAGAAUUUGAAAUUAAAGGGGGAUAUGAAAAAUACGAAAAAUGGAAAAGAAGUAUUCAUUGCAAUGGACGCCGUCUUCAAGAUCGGAUAAAGGCAUGCUGGUGGUAGAUAGCUCCGUGUUUCCUGGGAAGGACAUCUACCAAGCAGACCCACCUAGGAUAAGGGGAAAGAGGGAAAACCCAACAAGCCCAGAGUGAACAAAGAAGAACAUAACUGCCCUGUGACCUUCUGCCGUGAUGUCUGAGGCCCUCAUCUGAAAAUUGUUAGUUGUUCAGCUCUGGCAUGUUACUUUUAAAAUUCAGUGAUAAUAAAAAUGGAUUUUAUCAUAUGGCAACAACCCAUGUAAUGGAACCUGUCUAAGAAGAAACAUAUGGUAUCGUGUAUGGAGAUAAAUUCUGCUAACAUCUGGGACAAGUGAAUUAUGACAGUGAAAUCCUUGAUUGAAGCUACCAGUCAUACCAAAAGAGCUUCUAACCUAUUGUCUCACCCCAGAAUAACUGAAGCUGCCUGUCACAUAGGAUCUUUUAAUUCACCAUUUUACCCAAUAAACAUGGAAGCCAUCUACCACCAGAAUACCUUUAUCAGAUCUUGAAGAUGGCAUCUAUUGCAAUGAAUACUUCUUUUCUAUUUCCCUGAUUUUUCAUAUCCCCCUUUAAUUUCAAAUUCUCUCACAGUUAGCCACUCUUCAUUGUCGGACUUUAUACU